ensembl:lncRNA
UUUAUAUUCUUUCUCUACAUAUUUAUAAAUAUAAAAUGUGACGCAAGUUCACCAGAACAAGUUGAUAACACAGUUGACGGUCAAUUAAUCUACUCUAUAUGCAGACAAUAAUAUAGAUAAAAUAUUAAAGAGAAGUUAUGACUUUCCACACUUUCUUCAAAUUUCCCUCCAAAAAAGGAAAAUACAUCAUGUGAUGUUGGACGUGUGACUUUGGAACAAACCAUUGCUGAUUUAUAGGGGGUUUUAUAGGGAGUAACACAGUUGACACUGAUUUCUCGGACAUACAUAAAAUAGAUGAUUUAAUGUAGAUGCAUGAGCAAAAUAUUUUUUAAAACACCUUUCUCAUAAUUUAAUGAUUAUUUUGGACAAAUAUUUAUAAGAAAUAUAUACAGAAACAUGUUUUUUAGAGCUUAUCUGAAGAGCAAAACCUCACAUUUACCAAAUCAGACAGCACAAAUACAGCAAAUUCCAGUAUAGAAUAUGCCAUUUUUUUUUUGCAAGAUAAAAGAUGGAUAACUGUUGGAUUUUUGUAUUAAAUUAAUUAGAAAUGUCCCCUGAUAUAAAAGUGAUCAUAGUUUGAAAUGAAAAGUUGAUAAAAUUGAUAAUAGAGUCCAUGGACUUGACAUGUACCCCUAAUUAUAGAAUGACUUUGAAACUCACCAACAAAGGCAGAAAAACCAAAGAACUACACAAUGACACAUUAUUACAGUUUGCUGUUCAGGACUUGAAUCUACUAUUCUUAUUCAAAAAGGGUGUCCUUACUCCUCAUUAAACGGAUAAUCUGUUGAACCCAGGGCUUUCCAGCACAAGGCAAUGCCCCAAAGCCAUUCAGGGGCAUAACGGAGCCGUUGUUUGCACUGUCACGGCAAAGACGAUCUACGAGGCCUCCUUUUUCUCAGGUUUCACUUGUUGUUAUUGUAAGGCAUCUAAUGUAUAAAAACAAACAGGAAGUUAAACCUGCACAAUGUUGUAAAACAUUUGAUUGGUAGUAGUGUAUGACUGAAAGAUGGUGGGCCAUAAUUAUUUGUAAAUGUGAUUUACUAAUGUACUACAAAAUUAACUGCAAACUGAAAGCUAAAACACGGUAAGUUCAAAUGUAAGACUAUUUAAUUAAUUUUAAUAUAGACCUGCAGAUAUAAUGGAGGACUGAAUGGAAAAGCAAGGUGAGAAGCUUAAAGAAGAAAGAAACUAAUACAGGUUUGGAACAACAUGCGGGUGAGUAAAUGACAAUUUUCAUUUCUGAGUGAACUAUCCCUUUAAUAAUCAUAUUAAGCCAUUUUGCAAUUCCUGUUUUUCCGUCCCCAAAGUUAAGACCUCUU